rnacentral:lncRNA from 1 species
GGUGGCCGCUGGCUGGUCGUAUGCUUUUUGAUCGGAAUCGUGUGUUCUGUUCUUUCCUUCUUGGCAAAUCACACGGAGGUGCGGUGAUCGCCCUUUAUAUCGCUUGCUCUUUCCCCCUCUUUUCCUUUGUUAGAGUCAAGAAUCACGUGUUUUACUUCUUCCCUUCUUUCUUCUUUGUUCUAACUUUUAUUGCUCCACUUCUUAUCGUCGGCGUGCCGAUUGAUCCCCUUCGGUCCUCGCAAUUUCGUCCCUUCUCCCGUCUUUUGGUUUUAUUGCCUUGUUUUUCUCCCUUCUACACCACCUGCAUGUC